CUACGGAGGGUGCAAGCGUUACUCGGAAUCACUGGGCGUAAAGCGCGCGCAGGCGGUCUUUUAAGUUGGAUGUGAAAGCCUACGGCUCAACCGUAGAACUGCAUCCAAAACUAUUAGACUAGAGCGUGGGAGAGGAAGAUGGAAUUAGUUGUGUAGGGGUAAAAUCCGUAGAGAUAACUAGGAAUACCAAAAGCGAAGGCAAUCUUCUGGAACACUACUGACGCUGAGGCGCGAAAGCGUGGGGAGCAAACAGGAUUAGAAACCCCAGUAGUCC
rnacentral:rRNA from 1 species